rnacentral:lncRNA from 1 species
UGUUAUUUAUGUUUGUUUGCAGCAGGAGAGUGAGGACACAGAGCCAGAUAAGUGGUGUCAGUGCAGCUGGACAGAGACAGGGUCAAGUGAACACAGGAUAUGUACCAGACGGUCAAACAAGUGUCACUGACAGUGGCUUUUCCCAGAUAAAUGGCUCCAAUACGUUUGAGAUGCCUAAUGCUGUGAACAGUAACCACGCAGGAAAUGCCUACAUUACUGUGGAUGAAUCAGGAGUCAGGAAACACAGACAUGUCACUAUUGUGUAAGGACAGACAGAGGACCAAGAAGUCUGGAACUGUUUGAGUUUUGGGACAAACUUGCACAGUACCUUGAAGUCUUACUGUGGUUUCUAAAGACUGGAGAAAUAUAGGCAGGAGGACUGAGUCUGCCGGGAACAAAGGCUGAUGUACUGCAGGGAUGUCGAGGCUGUUGGCAGAUGAGACAUAUAUAUGGGCCGUGCAUGUGGUUCACUGCCUAUCUAAAGCUGGAUCAGCAGCUGUUAACAAUUUGUGUUAUUUCUGAAUGUGUGUUUUCAGUGCUACAGUAAAGACUUAGUGCUAUACAUAUAUACUGGAGCUGUAACUGAGGCUUUACCAGCACAGACUCUCACAUGCUAGACUAACAGCACAGAGACUAUAUUUUUAUUGAAUGACUUUAUCUAGAGCUAUAUAUUUUUAUUGAGGCAUGAUAUCAUUUUAAUUAAAUAUUCAAGAGGGACCAUCUUAAAUUUGUGCUCUGUAAAUGUAUUUAAUCCUCCUUAAAUGAUGUCUGUCUGUUGUCACCUCCACUCAAAAAUAUGUUGUUCUUCUUGUUCCUACAGUAUGAUGUUUGAAUGAUGUAUAUGCAGAUUUUGACACUAGAAGGAUGUUUUCACAUCCAUCUGAUGAAAUAUCCAAUAGUCCAAUAUGCAGCUUAUGCAGUGUGACAUAGAAACUUGAAGCCACCAGUGCACAUCCACUGAGAAUGGACUUUACAAUGAAGUAGGAGACAUCUUGUGUCCAGCAGCAAAACUUUAGAAAUGAACAACAUUUGCAUAUUCAGAGAUUCUGGAAGUUUUAAUGAGGCAGAAGGAGUAUAAAGAAUCCUUUUAUUACAUUUUAUUACUAUUACUAUUGUUAUUAUUAUUAUUAUUAUUAUUAUUAUUAUUAUUAUUAUUAUUAUUAUUAUUAUUAUCAUUGUUAUUAUUAUGUUGCACUGGACACAGCAGGAUUGGCUUCCUUUUAGUGCCUUUUUGAACUAAGACUUACGGUCAACAUCUCAUCAGUUACAGAUGUAUUUUCUGGAUAGCUACACUUUCUGGUGAAAAGGGAAUGGGUAGAUGGAUAAUGCAUUGGAGAGUGACAAGAACAUUAAACUGAAAUCCAAUUUUUGGAUUUCUGUUUUGGUUGAUCCUCUGCUCCCCUUACAUUUCAACAGGAUCCUUAGACCCUACUGAGAUGGAGCAGAUAUUGAAUCUGUCUAUCAAAUCGAGUGAAAUGUUUCACACUGACUCACACCACCAAAAAAUAAUUUUUCACAAAGGAAAUGUAGCUUCUUUUAUUGCAUACAUACAUACGUCUGAAAUGAACUUGCACUGAUGACCUGAUAUUAUAAUUGUGGUUGGUUAGUGCCACCAGCAGAUCAAGUAGAAAACAUUCUUCUGGAAUAUUUCGGCUCUGAUCAGUGGAAAGAAAUAUAACAGUUUAGAGUGGAAACAGCGUUCCGACUUGAAUUAAGUUCUGGACAAAAAAAAGUCAGCUUAAAGUCCACAUGAAAUGGAAAUCAGAGUGAAUUCCUCAUAUUUAUAUUUAUAUUUAUGGAGGACUUUGUGAGGGUAGCAGUAACCAAUAGCACAUAAUGUUCCCCUCAGUCAUGCAGCUAUGGCAGCCCAAUUAGCUGACUCUCCCGGGACUGGCCGGUCCCGGUGAACAGUGCGGCCAGACGAGGACAGUUUGAUGACGGGGAAUAAAGUACUAAAGUGUGUCUUGGAUGUUUUUCUUUUCAGAUUUUCCUCUAAUCUUGAAUGAUUUUCCCUGAAUAACUUUAUUCUUUAAAACUCUAAAAUAUUAAAAUAACAUAAAACACUGGUCAGAACUGGAAGAUUUAUGCAGCCAGUAAUGCAGGGUCAGAUAAAAACACUGCUUCAGUUUAGGAGAUCACAAGCCAAAAGGUUUGGAAUCACUGAUGUAGCACACUCCAGCAUAUCUACUAUGGAAUUGCAUUCUAAUGCACCUCAGUAGUUCGGAUUCAGUCUGACCACCUCAGCAUGGUUUUUGCGCCACUGAGGCAGCUGAACUCAGAUGACCUUUACUUGGCGAGGAAACAAAUUAAACCGGACUUGUUGGCCAAGAUGCACCAGUAGGGAGUGGAACUCCCCCUAGUUGAGCUUUUUAGGAUCAGAUUCAAGCCAGGGUUGGCAUUUCUUACUGUGGAUCAAUUAGGUGAUAACAUGAUGUUCACUGUGCUGUGGCAGAGUUCCACAGUAUCAGACCCAGCUAAUUAGGGGUUUAAUUGAAUUCAUGAUUGGAUUUAAUGUGACCUUUUUCUAAAUAGUCACUGCAAGUCUGAGUGGAGAUUUGGAGGGUCUGCCUCUGGGUUAUAAGCUUGUAAAUGAAUGCUUCAGCAUACACAAGUUGUUGAAGCCAUGGGGCUUCUGUUUGAGCAGUCAGCAGAUUCAUGAUUUUCCUCAGUUCCCGGAAAAGAUCACGCAGCGAAAAGGUUCAAUCAUUCUGACCGUCUUUUUGCCCAAGGCUCACCAAGAGACAUGAACACUGAAGGUUCCCAGUGAAACAAGAAUCAGUUUAAUUGUAUUAUAAUUGUAUUCAUCAGAAGUUAUCCAAUUAGAAGAAUGACUAACCAACAAAUCAUCAGCAUUGUGAACAAAAUGUUUUUAAGGUCAAUAUAGAUUAUUAUAGUAUGUUGAUGUGGCUAACUUGUUAACAAACACAUGCUUAUUUAUCAAGAUACAGAGCAACUAUAAAAUGUAUUUGGACUUUGUUUCUGGCCACCUGGUUAAUGUAAGUCCAAUAUUCUCCACCUACUCCUGAGAAAAAUAUCUGGCUCUUCAGCUGAAAAAUGCUCAACAUUGAUCAACAGGUGAUGGUGAAGCAAACAUGUUGUGGGCUGGAAUACCACAAUACGAACUACACGCUGAAAUGCUUCAUGGAGCUGAGAGGAAUAACUCUGUGGGUUUGUCAAAAUAAAUGUACAUCCAUUUCCAUAUAUGUAGACAUUUUAUCUAUUGUUGUUAUAAAAAGACUGACUGAUAUUAUCGUCCGAUAUUAGCCUAUUGUAGACAUAUCGGUAUUGACAUAUAUGUUAUCUGAUAUGCACAGAUAAAAAAAAAUAAUUUAAACUGGUAUCUAAUGCAAAAAAUAAAAAUACAAAUGCUUGCAAUAUCAUUGGUGUCACUGCAAAGUUUAUCCAGCAGAGUGCGCUGUGAUUUACAGUACUGUGGCAAACAGCACCGAGUAAGAGAGAAGAGGCAGCUCUCAGUCAACUAGAAUUUGUUGACAAUG